rnacentral:lncRNA from 1 species
GAACUGGAGAGGAGAGGGGGCGCUUGGUGGACUGCGCGUUAAUAUCUGACGCCGAAGCCUGCAGCCGCUUGGGUUGACAGGAAAAGGCGAUGGCGGCCAAUUCCAGCCUCUUGGCGCUUUGUCGAGCUGCUAGCUGCCAGCAACGGGAUAAAUUGGUUUCCCCGGUCUGCUCGCAAGAAUUGUCCUUGCCGAACGGCCUACGCGUUCGCCCGCCGCUGUUCGAACCACCUUAGCUUGCGUAGCGGCGGUGGAUACCAAGCUGCAGCUGGUUGAGUUCUCGCCAGCCUCCGUGUCCGCGCGAUGGCCGAAAGCAGCCAACUCCUCGUCACAGUCAGAGCGUCGCUCGUCCGGUCGUUAUCGCCGCCCUCCGGCCAAUUGGCGCGCGGGGCUGGCCGUCGCAUCGCCCGACUGCAAACGUGGAGGCGCGUGUGACGUCAUCGUGCCGAAUGGCACGGAGGCAGUACCUUCGUUGGAUUCUCCCCGCUGGCUGACAAUGUCCUGUGACCCAGGAGACCGACUACGCCGGGCACGCGGCUGGCGCGCGGCGACGGGGUGCGAGGAGCGCGACUAUAAGGAUGGCGCGCUCGCUCAUCCCCAGCGACGGCCCGCCAGCACCUGAGGCGCCGGCCGGGAGGCCGGCGGUGAUAGCUGUCGCGCUGCGGGCGGGGACCGGACGCGCCGCGAUGGAGACGGCGCCGGCCGGAGGGAAAGGCUGCUCCCUGCGCGGGGUCUGGCUGACUGAAGAUGCUAGACGCCUGGCCCGACCCUGGAUGAGGAUAGUGUUCACCGGGGCGGGGUACUAAGUCACCCGGACCGGUGGUCACGAAUCAGCCCGGACGAGCAUUCAAUUGCUGGCAUUCACGGCCUGUUCAAGUCAACGGGAAAGGCUGCUCCCUGCGCGGGGUCUGGCUGACUGAAGAUGCUAGACGCCUGGCCCGACCCCGGAUGAGGAUGGUGUUCACGGGAGCGGGGUACUAAGUCACCCGGACCGGUGGUCACGAAUCAGCCCGGACGAGCAUUCAAUUGCUGGCAUUCACGGCCUGUUCAAGUCAACGGCGUGAGAUCCGUUUCGUCGCCUGGAGUGCAUCGCCCGAGUUGGCCGUGCCUGCACCAACGCUUGAUCUGCACUCGGCGUUACAACGCCAGCAGAGUGAACCAUCGGGGAAUGCUGCAUAUCGUGAUACGUGUCUUACGCUGGCACCGGCUGGGUGCGUUGG